rnacentral:rRNA from 1 species
GAUGAACGCUGGCGGCGUGCCUAAUACAUGCAAGUCGAGCGAACAGAUGAGAAGCUUGCUUCUCUGAUGUUAGCGGCGGACGGGUGAGUAACACGUGGGUAACCUACCUAUAAGACUGGGAUAACUCCGGGAAACCGGGGCUAAUACCGGAUAAUAUUUUGAACCGCAUGGUUCAAUAGUGAAAGACGGUUUCGGCUGUCACUUAUAGAUGGACCCGCGCCGUAUUAGCUAGUUGGUAAGGUAACGGCUUACCAAGGCGACGAUACGUAGCCGACCCGAGAGGGUGAUCGGCCACACUGGAACUGAGACACGGUCCAGACUCCUACGGGAGGCAGCAGUAGGGAAUCUUCCGCAAUGGGCGAAAGCCUGACGGAGCAACGCCGCGUGAGUGAUGAAGGUCUUCGGAUCGUAAAACCCUGUUGUUAGGGAAGAACAAAUUUGUUAGUAACUGAACAAGUCUUGACGGUACCUAACCAGAAAGCCACGGCUAACUACGUGCCAGCAGCCGCGGUAA